UAUACAACGCUGACAGCAGGACCAAUGUAACUUCAGAGGGGGAUGCCAGUGUGAUAGUAUUUUACAGAUGUUCACCUGGAAAACAUCUCCACUGAUACAGGUUGAAGCUUAAUGGCCUGCAAAUUGCCCCAAGCUCAGUUGCAGCUACCCAAACAUCCGUCAGUCAGCGAACAAAUGAUCUACUUCAAGAAGACGAUGGAAUCGGUGCCGUGCCUGAAGUUGACUCCCAAGAGUAAAAGCUGCUCUCAGCUCCUGUGUUUCUAGGAGGCUCCUCGCAACAGCUCCACAUACAUGCAUGAAGACUUUUCCAUCAGUCGGGAGAUAACAAGUGAAAAGGUGAGCCGGCGAGUGAGAGAAGACAUGCUGGCAUAGCAAUAAAUCUAGACAUUGAAAUGAUUGGGUUUAUUCAACCCCAGAGUUUUACAUACAAAACACUUAUUUAUUUGUUCUGUAAUUGUUGUAGAAGCACUAAAUAUAUGACCUUUUUGAAAAAAACUAAACAAAACAGAAAUUAUAUUUUUUUAUAAAGGAAAAGAAACAGUGUCAACUUGUUAAGUCGGGUCAAAUGAACAGUGUUAUUGUAAGGGUUAUUGAUUCAAUCCAUACAUGGGAAGUCAAUACUUGCUCCUCAAAUUGGGAGAUCAAAGUUGAGUUAUAUGCACAUCUAUCAGUCUGCUCACAAGGUUCUCAUACAUGGUGAUUGUAAAGCAAGAUUGUGAUUUGACCUGUUCCGUGGCGUGUAGUUGGUGGCAGGCAGCCUAUCUGUAACACACUGCCAGUGUGUGUGUAUGUCUGUGUGUGUUGAGGAAAGUCAGUGAAGCAAAGACAGAGCAUGCACUUGAAUGAUUGAGGUUACCCGGGUGACCUCAUAAACCAAAACCCGUGGCAGUCUCCCAAGGUGAACGCUGAAUUAUGCCGUCAUUAAAGGACAGGCCCAGUUGCCAAGGUUAGUAUGUAAAGUAUAAUCAUCUUCCUCCCCCUUCUUCCAGUCACUCAUUAGUCCCCCUCAUGGGCCAACAGAGAUUAUACCUUGAACUUGCUUGACUAUCACUAUCUGCCCAGUGGGAAUGAUUCCGCUAUGGGCCAUUUGUAUCCCCCUCCCACCACCUUGCCAAGCUAGCCAGGCCUACAAAUUCUGCAGGUGUAGUGUCUGGAUGUGCGUGAGAGUCAUAGUGUACCUGAGUGUGUGUGUGUGUGUGUGUGUGUGUGUGUGUGUGUGUGUGUGUGUGUGUGUGUGUGUGUCUUGUCGUCCACACUCUGCACCCAGAUCAUCGAGUUUGUCCCAUAAAAAAUGAGGGAUGCCUUGACUUACUGCCACAUUAUGCCCCAAUUUAUAAGAGAACCACUGGGAAGAAGCCCAGUGGCAUUGUAACAAUUUGUUAGAAUUAGGACCAUUUGUUUUGUCUCCCUGGGCACUCAGUGCUGAUUCAAAUCCGUUGCUUCCAAAACUGUCUCAGUCACCAUUUUAAGUGCAACAAUAUCCCAUAAAUAAGUGCCUAACAUAACUACAUCCUUCAUCUGCAAAGGGCUAUCCAUUGAAAUUAAAGACAAUCAAAAUAUAUAAUGCAAUAAAGCACUAUGGACACUUUGGGGCACUGCAUCAUAUUAGUAUGCAUACAGGGCAGCCAAGUUUAAUCAAACCCUGGAGAGCAACCAAAGGUUUAGUUUUUAGAAAAGUUAUGUGAUGCUAAAGUCAACCCUGAUGUUUUUGGAUUGAUUUUCUUCUGUUUACCUGACUUUGACCACUCAGAAACAAGUCACAGCAAACACUUUGAUUGAAGUUAUAAAGUGCUCAUUUUGCCUGGCAGUUCCUCUUUUAAAAAAAAUAUUCAAAGGCACUAUGUGAUGAGCUGUAAUCUUGUUAAAUAUUGUGGCAGUUAUAUGAACAGAUUGUUUAUGUUUGCAUGAUGUGCAAUGAUGGACAAUGUUCAUCCACUUCCUCAUUUACUCCAGCCAACUGACUACUAUUGUUGGUAUAGUAAGAGGGGUUUUCAUUUCCAAACUGGCAGCAAAACUGUGCACACUUCAAGCAUGCUUCUAUUUGGUUGUACAGCUUCUGAAAGGUAACACAUUCAGACUGGAUUGAUGUGUCUUAUGUGAGUUACUCCGUCUUUAUAUUUAGUGAUUAUUAUUUUUUGCUGCUUUGUGUGAAUGAUUUUAUUACAAAAAAAGUAAGUGUUAGUGUUAUAUUCUUGGAUUAAAGCAUCAGAGGCUUUGUCAGCAUAUCUCAAUCCCCUUAAGAGAUUAAAGGAUCGCUUUGUGUCUCUAAAGUUGGGAAAAAAAGGAGUGUGAUCAAGAUAACGGAGUUUUAUGCUGGACAAUGAUAGAGAUCCAAAGGGGAGAGAAGGAAAGGUGUGCCACGCGCUCUUAUGAACACUAAGCGUCAUGAUCAUCAAGUAGACUUUGUAUUGUCAAAUAAUGCUUUGUUAUUGUCUUUUUGAAAAUACUGUCUUGUGAUGUACUUUUCUUUCAAAUGGAUUAAAGCAAACUGACAAGCUGGAA